AAAGUGUGGGUAUCAAACAGGAUUAGAUACCCUGGUAGUCCACACGGUAAACGAUGGAUACUCGCUGUUGGCGAUAUACGGUCAGCGGCCAAGCGAAAGCGUUAAGUAUCCCACCUGGGGAGUACGCCGGCAACGGUGAAACUCAAAGGAAUUGACGGGGGCCCGCACAAGCGGAGGAACAUGUGGUUUAAUUCGAUGAUACGCGAGGAACCUUACCCGGGCUUAAAUUGCAGAGGAAUAAUCUGGAAACAGAUUAGUCUUCGGACUUCUGUGAAGGUGCUGCAUGGUUGUCGUCAGCUCGUGCCGUGAGGCGUCGGCUUAAGUGCCAUAACGAGCGCAACCCUUGUGGUCAGUUACUAACAGGUAAUGCUGAGGACUCUGGCCAGACUGCCAUCGUAAGAUGUGAGGAAGGCGGGGAUGACGUCAAAUCAGCACGGCCCUUACGUCCGGGGCUACACACGUGUUACAAUGGGAGGUACAGAAGGCUGCGACCCGGCGACGGGCAGCUAAUCCCAAAAGCCUCUCUCAGUUCGGACUGGAGUCUGCAACCCGACUCCACGAAGCUGGAUUCGCUAGUAAUCGCGCAUCAGCCACGGCGCGGUGAAUACGUUCCCGGGCCUUGUACACACCGCCCGUCAAGCCAUGAAAGCCGNNNGUGNNNGAAGUGCGUAACCGCAAGGAGCGUCCUAGGGUAAAACCGGUAAUUGGGGCUAAGUCGUAACAAGGUAACC
rnacentral:rRNA from 1 species